rnacentral:rRNA from 1 species
GAUGAACGCUGGCGGCGUGCCUAAUACAUGCAAGUCGAGCGAACGGACGAGAAGCUUGCUUCUCUGAUGUUAGCGGCGGACGGGUGAGUAACACGUGGAUAACCUACCUAUAAGACUGGGAUAACUUCGGGAAACCGGAGCUAAUACCGGAUAAUAUUUUGAACCGCAUGGUUCAAAAGUGAAAGACGGUCUUGCUGUCACUUAUAGAUGGAUCCGCGCUGCAUUAGCUAGUUGGUAAGGUAACGGCUUACCAAGGCAACGAUGCAUAGCCGACCUGAGAGGGUGAUCGGCCACACUGGAACUGAGACACGGUCCAGACUCCUACGGGAGGCAGCAGUAGGGAAUCUUCCGCAAUGGGCGAAAGCCUGACGGAGCAACGCCGCGUGAGUGAUGAAGGUCUUCGGAUCGUAAAACUCUGUUAUUAGGGAAGAACAUAUGUGUAAGUAACUGUGCACAUCUUGACGGUACCUAAUCAGAAAGCCACGGCUAACUACGUGCCAGCAGCCGCGGUAAUACGUAGGUGGCAAGCGUUAUCCGGAAUUAUUGGGCGUAAAGCGCGCGUAGGCGGUUUUUUAAGUCUGAUGUGAAAGCCCACAGCUCAACCGUGGAGGGUCAUUGGAAACUGGAAAACUUGAGUGCAGAAGAGGAAAGUGGAAUUCCAUGUGUAGCGGUGAAAUGCGCAGAGAUAUGGAGGAACACCAGUGGCGAAGGCGACUUUCUGGUCUGUAACUGACGCUGAUGUGCGAAAGCGUGGGGAUCAAACAGGAUUAGAUACCCUGGUAGUCCACGCCGUAAACGAUGAGUGCUAAGUGUUAGGGGGUUUCCGCCCCUUAGUGCUGCAGCUAACGCAUUAAGCACUCCGCCUGGGGAGUACGACCGCAAGGUUGAAACUCAAAGGAAUUGACGGGGACCCGCACAAGCGGUGGAGCAUGUGGUUUAAUUCGAAGCAACGCGAAGAACCUUACCAAAUCUUGACAUCCUUUGACAACUCUAGAGAUAGAGCCUUCCCCUUCGGGGGACAAAGUGACAGGUGGUGCAUGGUUGUCGUCAGCUCGUGUCGUGAGAUGUUGGGUUAAGUCCCGCAACGAGCGCAACCCUUAAGCUUAGUUGUCAUCAUUAAGUUGGGCACUCUAAGUUGACUGCCGGUGACAAACCGGAGGAAGGUGGGGAUGACGUCAAAUCAUCAUGCCCCUUAUGAUUUGGGCUACACACGUGCUACAAUGGACAAUACAAAGGGCAGCGAAACCGCGAGGUCAAGCAAAUCCCAUAAAGUUGUUCUCAGUUCGGAUUGUAGUCUGCAACUCGACUACAUGAAGCUGGAAUCGCUAGUAAUCGUAGAUCAGCAUGCUACGGUGAAUACGUUCCCGGGUCU